UAGGGUGUAGCUCAGUGGUAGAGCAUGAGCUCAGAAUGCACAAGGCUCUGGUUCAAUCUCCAGCACUGCAA
rnacentral:tRNA from 1 species